GACGAACCGUGCGAACGUUAUUCGGAAUCACUGGGCUUAAAGCGCGUGUAGGCGGGUCGGUACGUCGGCCGCUGAAAGCCCCCGGCUCAACCGGGGAACGGGCGCCGAUACGGCCGGCCUGGAGGGGGGUAGGGGGACCUGGAACUUCCGGUGGAGCGGUGAAAUGCGUUGAGAUCGGAAGGAACGCCCGUGGCGAAAGCGAGGUCCUGGACCCCUUCUGACGCUGAGACGCGAAAGCCAGGGGAGCGAACGGG
rnacentral:rRNA from 1 species